rnacentral:rRNA from 1 species
AUUCCAGCUCCAAUAGCGUAUAUUAAAGUUGUUGCAGUUAAAACGCUCGUAGUCGGAUUUCGGGGCGGGCCGACCGGUCUGCCGAUGGGUAUGCACUGGCCGGCACGUCCUUCCACCCGGAGACCGCGCCUACUCUUAACUGAGCGGGCGCGGGAGACGGGUCUUUUACUUUGAAAAAAUCAGAGUGUUUCAAGCAGGCAGUCGCUCUUGCAUGGAUUAGCAUGGGAUAAUGAAAUAGGACUCUGGUGCUAUUUUGUUGGUUUCGAACACCGGAGUAAUGAUUAACAGGGACAGUCAGGGGCACUCGUAUUCCGCCGAGAGAGGUGAAAUUCUCAGACCAGCGGAAGACGAACCACUGCGAAAGCAUUUGCCAGGGAUGUUUUCAUUA